rnacentral:rRNA from 1 species
CCUACGUGUGGCUGCAGUAGGGAAUUUUCGUCAAUGGGCGCAAGCCUGAACGAGCAAUGCCGCGUGAACGAGGAAGGUCUUCGGAUCGUAAAGUUCUGUUGAAGGGGAAAAAGAGCGGAGAGAGGAAAUGCUUUCUGAUUGAUAUUACCCUUCGAGGAAGUCACGGCUAACUACGUGCCAGCAGCCGCGGUAAUACGUAGGUGGCGAGCGUUAACCGGAAUGAUUGGGCGUAAAGGGUGCGUAGGCGGCUUGCUAAGUCUGGGGUGAAAGGUACCGGCUCAACCGGUACAGGCUCUGGAAACUGGCGGGCUAGAGGGCAGGAGAGGGCGGUGGAACUUCAAGGGUAGCGGGAAAAUGCGGAGAUAUAUGGAAGAACAACAGUGGCGAAGGCGGCCGCCUGGCCUGUUAACUGACGCUGAGGCACGAAAGCGUGGGGAGCAAAUAGGAUUAGAUACCCGUGUAGUC